CCCUUAGAUGUUCUGGGCCGCACGCGCGCUACACUGAUGCAUUCAACGAGUCUAAAACCUGCUCUGAUAGGGGUGGGUAAUCUUUUGAAUGUGCAUCGUGAUUGGGAUAGAUGAUUGCAAUUUUUCAUCUUCAACGAGGAAUGCCUAGUAAACGCAAGUCAUCAGCUUGCAUUGAUUACGUCCCUGCCCUUUGUACACACCGCCCGUCGCUCCUACCGAUUGAAUGAUCCGAUGAAUAUCAUGGAUUGAGGAUGCAAGCAGGUUCGCCUGUCUUCAUCUUCGAGAAGUGAAGUAAAUCUUAUCAUUUAGAGGAAGGAGAAGUCGUAAC
rnacentral:rRNA from 1 species